AUGAACGCUAGCUACAGGCUUAACACAUGCAAGUCGAGGGGCAGCAUGGUCUUAGCUUGCUAAGGCCGAUGGCGACCGGCGCACGGGUGAGUAACACGUAUCCAACCUGCCGUCUACUCUUGGACAGCCUUCUGAAAGGAAGAUUAAUACAAGAUGGCAUCAUGAGUCCGCAUGUUCACAUGAUUAAAGGUAUUCCGGUAGACGAUGGGGAUGCGUUCCAUUAGAUAGUAGGCGGGGUAACGGCCCACCUAGUCUUCGAUGGAUAGGGGUUCUGAGAGGAAGGUCCCCCACAUUGGAACUGAGACACGGUCCAAACUCCUACGGGAGGCAGCAGUGAGGAAUAUUGGUCAAUGGGCGAGAGCCUGAACCAGCCAAGUAGCGUGAAGGAUGACUGCCCUAUGGGUUGUAAACUUCUUUUAUAAAGGAAUAAAGUCGGGUAUGUAUACCCGUUUGCAUGUACUUUAUGAAUAAGGAUCGGCUAACUCCGUGCCAGCAGCCGCGGUAAUACGGAGGAUCCGAGCGUUAUCCGGAUUUAUUGGGUUUAAAGGGAGCGUAGAUGGAUGUUUAAGUCAGUUGUGAAAGUUUGCGGCUCAACCGUAAAAUUGCAGUUGAUACUGGAUAUCUUGAGUGCAGUUGAGGCAGGCGGAAUUCGUGGUGUAGCGGUGAAAUGCUUAGAUAUCACGAAGAACUCCGAUUGCGAAGGCAGCCUGCUAAGCUGCAACUGACAUUGAGGCUCGAAAGUGUGGGUAUCAAACAGGAUUAGAUACCCUGGUAGUCCACACGGUAAACGAUGAAUACUCGCUGUUUGCGAUAUACAGCAAGCGGCCAAGCGAAAGCGUUAAGUAUUCCACCUGGGGAGUACGCCGGCAACGGUGAAACUCAAAGGAAUUGACGGGGGCCCGCACAAGCGGAGGAACAUGUGGUUUAAUUCGAUGAUACGCGAGGAACCUUACCCGGGCUUGAAAGUUACUGACGAUUCUGGAAACAGGAUUUCCCUUUGGGGCAGGAAACUAGGUGCUGCAUGGUUGUCGUCAGCUCGUGCCGUGAGGUGUCGGCUUAAGUGCCAUAACGAGCGCAACCCUUGUUGUCAGUUACUAACAGGUUCCGCUGAGGACUCUGACAAGACUGCCAUCGUAAGAUGUGAGGAAGGUGGGGAUGACGUCAAAUCAGCACGGCCCUUACGUCCGGGGCUACACACGUGUUACAAUGGGGGGUACAGAGGGCCGCUACCACGCGAGUGGAUGCCAAUCCCCAAAACCUCUCUCAGUUCGGACUGGAGUCUGCAACCCGACUCCACGAAGCUGGAUUCGCUAGUAAUCGCGCAUCAGCCACGGCGCGGUGAAUACGUUCCCGGGCCUUGUACACACCGCCCGUCAAGCCAUGGGAGCCGGGGGUACCUGAAGUGCGUAACCGCGAGGAGCGCCCUAGGGUAAAACUGGUGACUGGGGCU
rnacentral:rRNA from 1 species